rnacentral:rRNA from 1 species
UCUAAACGACUCUCGGCAACGGAUAUCUCGGCUCUCGCAUCGAUGAAGAACGUAGCGAAAUGCGAUACUUGGUGUGAAUUGCAGAAUCCCGUGAACCAUCGAGUCUUUGAACGCAAGUUGCGCCCGAAGCCUUCUGGCCGAGGGCACGCCUGCCUGGGCGUCACA